UUUGGUUUUAAAUUCUGCUCUCAUGUUUCAUCCUUACUACAGUUUCCCUUCCCUCCAUUCCUCCCAGUUCCUCUGCACACCCACCUCCCAUCUCUGGUAGACCCACAACUCCUCCAAACUUCAAAAAAGUGCUGACCUUCCAGGGACAUCAACCAAACAUGGCAUAACAGGGAAUGCAUCUGGAAAAGAGACUACCAGCAGAAGAGCAUAAAGGGGCGUGGAAGCCUAAACUGAACGAAGACCAAAGUGUGGACACUUUGCCCCUUCUUAGAAUUUGAAACAAUCACCCAUGGAAGGAGUUACAG
rnacentral:lncRNA from 1 species